CCUACGGGUGGCAGCAGUGGGGAAUAUUGCACAAUGGGGGAAACCCUGAUGCAGCGACGCCGCGUGAGUGAAGAAGUAUUUUGGUAUGUAAAGCUCUAUCAGCAGGGAAGAAAAUGACGGUACCUGAUCAAGAAGCCCCGGCUAACUACGUGCCAGCAGCCGCGGGAAUACGUAGGGGGCAAGCGUUAUCCGGAUUUACUGGGUGGAAAGGGAGCGUAGACGGCAGCGCAAGUCUGGGGUGAAAUGCCGGGGCUUAACCCGGGAACUGCUUUUGAAACUGGGCAUCUAGAGUGCAGGAGAGGUAAGUGGAAUUCCUGGUGUAGCAGUGAAAUGCGUAGAUAUUAGGAGGAACACCAGUGGCGAAGGCGACUUACUGGACUGUAACUGACGUUGAGGCUCGAAAGCGUGGGGAGCAAACAGGAUUAGAUACCCUUGUAGUC
rnacentral:rRNA from 1 species